CCGGCGAUGUCCGAAUGGGGAAACCCAGUGCAAUUCGUUGCACUAUCGUUAACUGAAUACAUAGGUUAACGAGGCGAACCGGGGGAACUGAAACAUCUAAGUACCCCGAGGAAAAGAAAUCAACCGAGAUUCCCCCAGUAGCGGCGAGCGAACGGGGAGCAGCCCAGAGUCUGAAUCAGCUUGUGUGUUAGUGGAACGGUCUGGAAAGUCCGACGGUACAGGGUGAUAGUCCCGUACACCAAAAUGCACAGGUUGUGAACUCGAAGAGUAGGGCGGGACACGUGGUAUCCUGUCUGAAUAUGGGGGGACCAUCCUCCAAGGCUAAAUACUCCUGACUGACCGAUAGUGAACCAGUACCGUGAGGGAAAGGCGAAAAGAACCCCGGCGAGGGGAGUGAAAAAGAACCUGAAACCGUGUACGUACAAGCAGUGGGAGCACCUUCGGGUGUGACUGCGUACCUUUUGUAUAAUGGGUCAGCGACUUAUAUUCUGUAGCAAGGUUAACCGUAUAGGGGAGCCGCAGGGAAACCGAGUCUUAACUGGGCGUUAAGUUGCAGGGUAUAGACCCGAAACCCGGUGAUCUAGCCAUGGGCAGGUUGAAGGUUGGGUAACACUAACUGGAGGACCGAACCGACUAAUGUUGAAAAAUUAGCGGAUGACUUGUGGCUGGGGGUGAAAGGCCAAUCAAACCGGGAGAUAGCUGGUUCUCCCCGAAAGCUAUUUAGGUAGCGCCUCGUGAACUCAUCUUCGGGGGUAGAGCACUGUUUCGGCUAGGGGGUCAUCCCGACUUACCAACCCGAUGCAAACUACGAAUACCGAAGAAUGUUAUCACGGGAGACACACGGCGGGUGCUAACGUCCGUCGUGAAGAGGGAAACAACCCAGACCGCCAGCUAAGGUCCCAAAGUCAUGGUUAAGUGGGAAACGAUGUGGGAAGGCACAGACAGCCAGGAUGUUGGCUUAGAAGCAGCCAUCAUUUAAAGAAAGCGUAAUAGCUCACUGGUCGAGUCGGCCUGCGCGGAAGAUGUAACGGGGCUAAACCAUGCACCGAAGCUGCGGCAGCGACACUAUGUGUUGUUGGGUAGGGGAGCGUUCUGUAAGCCUGCGAAGGUGACCUGUGAGGGUUGCUGGAGGUAUCAGAAGUGCGAAUGCUGACAUAAGUAACGAUAAAGCGGGUGAAAAGCCCGCUCGCCGGAAGACCAAGGGUUCCUGUCCAACGUUAAUCGGGGCAGGGUGAGUCGACCCCUAAGGCGAGGCCGAAAGGCGUAGUCGAUGGGAAACAGGUUAAUAUUCCUGUACUUGGUGUUACUGCGAAGGGGGGACGGAGAAGGCUAUGUUAGCCGGGCGACGGUUGUCCCGGUUUAAGCAUGUAGGCUGGUUGUCCAGGCAAAUCCGGAUAAUCAAGGCUGAGGUGUGAUGACGAGGCACUACGGUGCUGAAGUAACAAAUGCCCUGCUUCCAGGAAAAGCCUCUAAGCAUCAGGUAACAUCAAAUCGUACCCCAAACCGACACAGGUGGUCAGGUAGAGAAUACCAAGGCGCUUGAGAGAACUCGGGUGAAGGAACUAGGCAAAAUGGUGCCGUAACUUCGGGAGAAGGCACGCUGGUGUGUAGGUGAAGUCCCUGCGGAUGGAGCUGAGACCAGUCGAAGAUACCAGCUGGCUGCAACUGUUUAUUAAAAACACAGCACUGUGCAAACACGAAAGUGGACGUAUACGGUGUGACGCCUGCCCGGUGCCGGAAGGUUAAUUGAUGGGGUUAUCCGUAAGGAGAAGCUCUUGAUCGAAGCCCCGGUAAACGGCGGCCGUAACUAUAACGGUCCUAAGGUAGCGAAAUUCCUUGUCGGGUAAGUUCCGACCUGCACGAAUGGCGUAAUGAUGGCCAGGCUGUCUCCACCCGAGACUCAGUGAAAUUGAACUCGCUGUGAAGAUGCAGUGUACCCGCGGCAAGACGGAAAGACCCCGUGAACCUUUACUAUAGCUUGACACUGAACAUUGAGCCUUGAUGUGUAGGAUAGGUGGGAGGCUUUGAAGCGUGGACGCCAGUCUGCGUGGAGCCAACCUUGAAAUACCACCCUUUAAUGUUUGAUGUUCUAACGUUGGCCCCUGACCGGGGUUGCGGACAGUGUCUGGUGGGUAGUUUGACUGGGGCGGUCUCCUCCCAAAGCGUAACGGAGGAGCACGAAGGUUAGCUAAUCCUGGUCGGACAUCAGGAGGUUAGUGCAAUGGCAUAAGCUAGCUUGACUGCGAGCGUGACGGCGCGAGCAGGUGCGAAAGCAGGUCAUAGUGAUCCGGUGGUUCUGAAUGGAAGGGCCAUCGCUCAACGGAUAAAAGGUACUCCGGGGAUAACAGGCUGAUACCGCCCAAGAGUUCAUAUCGACGGCGGUGUUUGGCACCUCGAUGUCGGCUCAUCACAUCCUGGGGCUGAAGUAGGUCCCAAGGGUAUGGCUGUUCGCCAUUUAAAGUGGUACGCGAGCUGGGUUUAGAACGUCGUGAGACAGUUCGGUCCCUAUCUGCCGUGGGCGCUGGAGAAUUGAGGGGGGCUGCUCCUAGUACGAGAGGACCGGAGUGGACGCAUCACUGGUGUUCGGGUUGUCAUGCCAAUGGCACUGCCCGGUAGCUAAAUGCGGAAGAGAUAAGUGCUGAAAGCAUCUAAGCACGAAACUUGCCCCGAGAUGAGUUCUCCCUGAGACUUUAAGUCUCCUGAAGGAACGUU
rnacentral:rRNA from 1 species